GCAGAGGCGGGGGCGGGGCGGGACGGCCCAUUGAGAGCCAGGACCCCGUUACCCAACGCUCAGCCCCUCGCCUGGUUCUUCCUCCUGGAAUCCGACCGAUCUCCUCCAGUCCACUUCCGAGCCUUCUUGCUCAUUUCGUCUCCAAUCGCAUGACUUGGUGAGAGUGAGCGUGUGAAGUGCCCGGCAGCUGCCUCGUUCCUGUUAAGUACCUAGCGUGUGCUAACCCGAGGGCUCACUGCCUGCAGGAGGUGAUUUCUCAAAGCGCUGAAGGCUCUGCAGGAUGAGAUCGCUGCCGCCCCGCACGUGAUCACCGGGCCCAGCAGCGCUGACCCCCUCCUCCCUUGCCCACCUGUCCCCUCCCUGCCCUGGCACUAGCAUAUCCCAAAUAAAGUGACAUUGGCAGCAA
rnacentral:lncRNA from 1 species